rnacentral:rRNA from 1 species
GUUUGAUCCUGGCUCAGGACGAGCGCUGGCGGCGUGCCUAAUACAUGCAAGUCGAGCGAGCCGAACUAAUUGAUUACCUUCGGGUAUGAAGUUAGGGAAGCGAGCGGCGGAUGGGUGAGUAACACGUGGGUAACCUACCCUAUAGUCUGGGAUACCACUUGGAAACAGGUGCUAAUACCGGAUAAAAGGAGAGAUCACAUGAUUUCCUUUUGAAAGGCGGCGUAAGCUGUCGCUAAAGGAUGGACCCGCGGUGCAUUAGCUAGUUGGUAAGGUAGCGGCUCACCAAGGCAACGAUGCAUAGCCGAGUUGAGAGACUGAUCGGCCACAUUGGGACUGAGACACGGCCCAAACUCCUACGGGAGGCAGCAGUAGGGAAUCUUCCACAAUGGACGCAAGUUCUGAUGGGAGGCAACGCCCGCGUGGAGGUGAAGAAGGUUUUCGGAUCGUAAAGCUCUGUUGUUGGUGAAGAAAGAUAGUGAGAGUAACUGCUCAUUAUUUGCCGGUAAUCACCAGAAAGUCACGGCUAACUACGUGCCAGCAGCCGCGGUAAUACGUAGGUGGCAAGCGUUGUCCCGGAUUUAUUGGGCGUAAAGCGAGCGCAGGCGGAAAGAUAAGUCAGAUGUGAAAGCCCUCGGCUUAACCGAGGAAUAGCAUCGGAAACUGUCUUUCUUGAGUGCAGAAGAGGAGAGUGGAACUCCAUGUGUAGCGGUGGAAUGCGUAGAUAUAUGGAAGAACACCAGUGGCGAAGGCGGCUCUCUGGUCUGUAACUGACGCUGAGGCUCGAAAGCAUGGGUAGCGAACAGGAUUUGAUACCCUGGUAGUCCAUGCUGUAAACGAUGAGUGCUAAGUGUUGGGAGGUUUCCGCCUCUCAGUGCUGCAGCUAACGCAUUAAGCACUCCGCCUGGGGAGUACGACCGCAAGGUCAAAACUCAAAGGAAUUGACGGGGGCCCGCACAAGCGGUGGAGCAUGUGGGUUUAAUUCGAAGCAACGCGAAGAACCUUUACCAGGUCUUGACAUCUAGUGCCAACCUAAGAGAUUAGGCGUUCCCUUCGGGGACACUAAGACAGGUGGUGCAUGGCUGUCGUCAGCUCGUGUCGUGAGAUUGUUGGGUUAGUCCCCGCACGAAGCCGCAACCCUUAUAUUAGUUGCCAGCAUUAAGUUGGGCACUCUAAUGAGACUGCCGGUGACAAACCGGAGGAAGGUGGGGAUGACGUCAAGUCAUCAUGCCCCUUAUGACCUGGGCUACACACGUGCUACAAUGGGCAGUACAACGAGGAGCGAACUUGUGAAGGCAAGCGAAUCUCUGAAAGCUGUUCUCAGUUCGGACUGUAGGCUGCAACUUGCCUACACGAAGCUGGAAUCGCUAGUAAUCGCGGAUCAGCACGCCGCGGUG